rnacentral:rRNA from 1 species
GAUGAACGCUGGCGGCGUGCCUAAUACAUGCAAGUCGAACGGACGGUCGCAAGGCCGUAAGUGGCGAACGGGUGAGUAACGCGUUGGUGACCUGCCCUUUAGUGGGGGAUACCAGGCCGAAAGGCCUGCUAAUACCGCAUGAGAUCGGGAGAGAUUAGAAACUUCCGAGAAAAGCCGAAAGGCGCUGAAGGAGGGGCCUGCGUCCCAUCAGCUAGUUGGUAAGGUAACGGCUUACCAAGGCGAUGACGGGUAGGGGACCUGAGAGGGUGGCCCCCCACAAUGGAACGUAGAACAACGGUCCGACUACACCUACCGGGAGGGCACG